rnacentral:tRNA from 1 species
UGCGGGGUGGAGCAGUCUGGUAGCUCGUCGGGCUCAUAACCCGAAGGUCAUAGGUUCAAAUCCUGUCCCCGCAACCA